ensembl:lncRNA
AUAUGUAAAUGUCACAGGGUGACGAGUGACAGGCGGAACCACUUCUCGUUGAGGAUGCUUCCCGGUCGGAAUGGUUCCGGUGUGACACCUGGUCGGUUUCGGUUGCCCCGUGAGCUGUGCUCAGACGGCCGGAUCAAAUGAAGAAAUGAGUAACAGGUGUGCGAUGAGAGGGCGGCGAUCAGUGAUUGGGACAAGUAACGGGAAUGCGGCUUAUAAAAGGACUUUGUGGCAAAGGAAAGGGACGGUGUUUGUGGGAGAGACUAGCGCGAGAGAGCGGGAAGAGGGGAAGCGUGACGGAAACAGAUUUUCUACAGGCUGUGGAUAGGAGGUAAUGUCUUUUCUACAAAAAAAGACAAACAGGGACUGGAGAACGGAUGUGCAUAUGCAUACCUGGAACAAGUUAAGUACCAUGUUUACCUCCUAUAUGGUUCUUUGAAGCUUAUUGUCCCCACUUGGAUGUGAUGAUUGGAUGAUCGUUGGCUGGAAGCUAAAUACUAUGAAGGUCUAAACCCUUAAUGUCAGCAUGGUUUUGGUUGCCCAUCACUCUCACUGUCUUUGAGUUAUAACUCUCUCGAAGCUGGAUAUUCGGUUCUGGUCUUCCUGUAUCCCUGUGAUGAUUGUUUUGCUUCUAAUCCAUAUUGUGAUGUUCUAACCCCUCGACACAAGGGUGUUUGUAGCUGUUCCUCUUCCCCGCUGCUAUGUCUACAGCUGUUUAUCCAUUGUGCUGUUUCUGAGUGGAAAGGUGUGGAGGAUGAAGAUCUAGCUCCUGUAUCCAGUGCUGUUUCCUGACAAUUAUAUUUCCGGUCGCCCACAAAACCUCCUUACCGUCAAGGACGAGGAACCGGGUUGGAGCCACGAGCGAAGGCCUUAAUUCACUAGUCCCGCCGGUGUUCGUGCCUUCGACCUGAUUUGCUGCCAUACCUGCAUACUCACCAUUGCCUGGCCUGGAGUCAAUUGUUGAAGACGUGACAUCCGUACUUGCAUACUCACCAUUAUUUGGGCUGGAGCUAACUGUUGGAAAUGGGAAGUCAUCUCUCCUUCGCUGCUCUGGUCUGCUUGGAAGAAGAGCCAUACCUGCAUACCUACCUUGUCCGGCCUGGAGCUGCCCUGUUAAUGACAGCUACCCCCUGCCUGCCUAAUCUUGUCCGGCUUGGAGCCGAUCCAGUAAUACAGAGGAGGAGUACCAGGAUUCUGAGGAGAAGA